rnacentral:rRNA from 1 species
UACGUAGGUGGCGAGCGUUGUCCGGAAUCACUGGGCGUAAAGCGCGCGCAGGCGGCGAUCUACGUCUGGGGUGAAAGCCCGGGGCUCAACCCCGGGAGGCGGAUGGAUACUGCAAGGCUCGAGUCCGGAAGAGGCGAGUGGAAUUCCCGGUGUAGCGGUGAAAUGCGCAGAUAUCGGGAGGAACACCAAUGGCGAAGGCAGCUCGCUGGGACGGUACUGACGCUGAGACGCGAAAGCGUGGGGAGCAAACAGG